rnacentral:rRNA from 1 species
GGUGAACGCUGGCGGCGUGCUUAAGACAUGCAAGUCGAACGGCAGUCUUCGGACUGUAGUGGCGCACGGGUGAGUAACGCGUAACUGACCUACCCCAAAGUCGCGGAUAACGAUUCGAAAGAAUCGCUAAUACGUGAUGUGCUGUCAGAUUGUGUUCUGCCAGUAAAGAUUGAUUGCUUUGGGAUGGGGUUGCGUUCCAUCAGCUAGUUGGUGGGGUAAAGGCCCACCAAGGCGACGACGGAUAGCCGGCCUGAGAGGGUGGCCGGCCACAGGGGCACUGAGACACGGGGCCCACUCCUACGGGAGGCAGCAGUUAGGAAUCUUCCACAAUGGGCGAAAGCCUGAUGGAGCGACGCCGCGUGAGGGAUGAAGGUCUUCGGAUCGUAAACCUCUGGAUCAGGGACGAAAGACACUUCGGUGGGAUGACGGUACCUGAGUAAUAGCACCGGCUAACUCCGUGCCAGCCGCCGCAGUAAAAC